CUAACUACGUGCCAGCAGCCGCGGUAAUACGUAGGGCGCAAGCGUUAUCCGGGAAUUAUUGGGCGUAAAGAGCUCGUAGGCGGUUGUCGCGUCUGCUGUGAAAUCCCGAGGCUCAACCUCGGGCCUGCAGUGGGUACGGGCAGACCAGAGUGCGGUAGGGGAGAUUGGAAUUCCUGGUGUAGCGGUGGAAUGCGCAGAUAUCAGGAGGAACACCGAUGGCGAAGGCAGAUCUCUGGGCCGUAACUGACGCUGAGGAGCGAAAGGGUGGGGAGCAAACAGGCUUAGAUACCCUGGUAGUCCACCCCGUAAACGUUGGGAACUAGUUGUGGGGUCCAUUCCACGGAUUCCGUGACGCAGCUAACGCAUUAAGUUCCCCGCCUGGGGAGUACGGCCGCAAGGCUAAAACUCAAAGGAAUUGACGGGGACCCGCACAAGCGGCGGAGCAUGCGGAUUAAUUCGAUGCAACGCGAAGAACCUUACCAAGGCUUGACAUAUACGAGAACACUCCGGAAACAGAGGACUCUUUGGACACUCGUAUACAGGUGGUGCAUGGUUGUCGUCAGCUCGUGUCGUGAGAUGUUGGGUUAAGUCCCGCAACGAGCGCAACCCUCGUUCUAUGUUGCCAGCACGUAAUGGUGGGAACUCAUGGGAUACCGCCGGGGUCAACUCGGAGGAAGGUGGGGAUGACGUCAAAUCAUCAUGCCCCUUAUGUCUUGGGCUUCACGCAUGCUACAAUGGCCGGUACAAAGGGCUGCAAUACCGUGAGGUGGAGCGAAUCCCAAAAAGCCGGUCCCAGUUCGGAUUGAGGUCUGCAACUCGACCUCAUGAAGUCGGAGUCGCUAGUAAUCGCAGAUCAGCAACGCUGCGGUGAAUACGUUCCCGGGUCUUGUACACACCGCCCGUCAAGUCAUGAAAGUCGGUAACACCUGAAGCCGGUGGCCUAACCCUUGUGGAGGGAGCCGUCGAAGGUGGGGCUGGA
rnacentral:rRNA from 1 species